GAUGAACGCUGGCGGCGUGCUUAACACAUGAAGUCGAACGGAAAACCUUUUAAUGAAGCUUCGGCAGAUUUAGCUGGUUUCUAGUGGCGGACGGGUGAGUAACGCGUGUGUAACCUGCCUUAUACAGGGGGAUAACAGUCAGAAAUGACUGCUAAUACCGCAUAAGCGCACAGGACCGCAUGGUCCGGUGUGAACAACUCCGGUGGGAUAAGAUGGACCCGCGUUGGAUUAGCUUGAUGGUGGGGUAACGGCUCAGCAAGGCGACGAUCCAUAGCCGGGCUGUGAGGGUGGACGGACACAUUGGGGCUGGGACACGGUCCAGACUCCUACGGGAGGGAGGAGUGGGGAAUAGUGCAAAAUGGCGUAAACCCUGAUGCAGCGACGCCGCGUGAAGGAAGAAGUAUCUCGGUAUGUAAACUGCAAUCAGCAGGGAAGAUAGUGACGGUACCUGACUAAGAAGCCCCGGCUAACUACGUG
rnacentral:rRNA from 1 species